rnacentral:rRNA from 1 species
GCAGCAUGGUCUUAGCUUGCUAAGGCCGAUGGCGACCGGCGCACGGGUGAGUAACACGUAUCCAACCUGCCGUCUACUCUUGGACAGCCUUCUGAAAGGAAGAUUAAUACAAGAUGGCAUCAUGAGUCCGCAUGUUCACAUGAUUAAAGGUAUUCCGGUAGACGAUGGGGAUGCGUUCCAUUAGAUAGUAGGCGGGGUAACGGCCCACCUAGUCUUCGAUGGAUAGGGGUUCUGAGAGGAAGGUCCCCCACAUUGGAACUGAGACACGGUCCAAACUCCUACGGGAGGCAGCAGUGAGGAAUAUUGGUCAAUGGGCGAGAGCCUGAACCAGCCAAGUAGCGUGAAGGAUGACUGCCCUAUGGGUUGUAAACUUCUUUUAUAAAGGAAUAAAGUCGGGUAUGGAUACCCGUUUGCAUGUACUUUAUGAAUAAGGAUCGGCUAACUCCGUGCCAGCAGCCGCGGUAAUACGGAGGAUCCGAGCGUUAUCCGGAUUUAUUGGGUUUAAAGGGAGCGUAGAUGGAUGUUUAAGUCAGUGGUGAAAGUUUGCGGC